rnacentral:lncRNA from 1 species
GAGGUGUUGUUUAGAGAAUUUGACGGCCUUCCACGAAUUUUCAAACGCGUAGUUGCUAUAGGCGCGAUAUUUUAAUAAGAUAUCUUCCUAAAAUCGGGUGCACAUUUAUGUGACACAAAUCCAAGUCUCGACGAUGUUAAAAUGUGUCAAGAACCCCGGUGCAUUUAUGUGUCGUUGUUCGGGGCGUGUUUUAAUAACGUUGUAAACAUUCCUAAAUUGAAUAAAGCGGUUAAUAAUUUUAAAAUUGCAUUGUAGGAUGAACAUGUGUAAAAAUCAAGAAGAUAGCCAUUUAUAAUAGUUUAAGCGAUCAUGCUAGAACCACGGGAUCCGAGGGUGCCUAACACCUUCCCUCAUAAAAGCGCAUAAGUCAUGACAUGUUUUAAAAUCAUAUAUAUAGACAUUUACAAUAAUUUAAGCGACCGUGCUAGAACCAUGGGAUCAGCGGGUGCCUAACACCUUCCCUCGUGUCAACAGAAUUGCUUACUUAGAAUUUCUGGUUCGCAGACUCCAUUUGGGCAGUCGGAAAAUUUCCUUGAUUUGGGAUUCUAAAUAAACCGGUGGCUUGGGACACCAAAAACCAAACAUAUCCCAAGUGACGACUCUAAAUA